rnacentral:piRNA from 1 species
UCACUUUGCCUGUGGGAUCUCCCCGUUGC